GAUUUCUUUCACACUUAUGAUUCUCAAAACUUCUUUCUAAAAUUUCAAGGGAAAAAGUGAUAUACUUUUUUUUUGAAAUUUUAAGUAGAAAUUUUGUGAAUCAUAAGUGUAAAAGAUGUA